ACAACGAUCAAGUUUAUUCGUGCGAACAUCGAUAAGUGUUAGGUUCUGUCACAGAUGAGAGAAGCAGAGCGGAGAGUGGAGAUCAUCAAUCAUCGUCGUCCCUCAGCGUCAAUCAAGAGCAGAAAGAGAGAAGCUGUUCGCCUCACUAGAUGGAUAGUUCUUUCUGUUUUCCACUUGUGUUGGUUGCAGGUAGAGAGAGGCGUUGCUCGGCAUCCUCCUCCGCCAUCCUUCUGCUCACUGGGUGACCAUCCUUCAAGUCAUCAAGUAAGUCUCUCUCUCGCUGUCUCCCAGUUGUCUCCUUCAAUAGACAAGGAGGAGUUCGGUGACUGGUUCUGUUGGAAGUCUCUCUCUCUCUCUCUCACAGGGUAAUUGUGUUUGAUUUCAAAAAUGAUGUCUCUAUGAAUAAAUAUGCGCCAGAUUAAUGAUUAAUUUUCGGACAAAAUUAAAAUUUUGAAGGUUUUUUGAUCUUACAUGCGGGUUAUGCGUGUGAUGGUAGCAGCCUAGCAGGUCUGUGGAAUUAGGGGCAAUCUGUUGUCUUUUUUUAAUGAUGUUAAAGAUGCUUUGGUUGUUGGGUUUACUGAUGUUCGUUGUUUGUUGUCAUUUCAUCGGUCGUCUAAGGUCUUUUAUUUCUCUCUGUGUUUAUUUUUGUGGAGAAAGGCCGGUGGUGAAGGCAAUUAGAUCUCUCUAUGGUUUGUAUGUUAAGGGAGAUGUAUGUUGAAUCUUCGAGCCAUAGUUGGUUGUCAGUUUACUGCAAGUGGAUGAAGACCAACUUUCAAAAGUAGCUCGAUUCUAGGCUUUAACAACAGAAAUGGGGAGCUGUUGUUUUACCAAGUAUAUUUUCAGCUCCAAAAUGAAGGUGAUAAACUUAUUGCUCAUGCCGUCCUAAGAACCCUGCAGUGGGUAAAGCUCGUGCCCGCAUUGCAUAAUCUAGGUCUGUUAGGAUGCUCAUUCUGUUUUAUUUUUUUCACAGGCUGAGAAUCCUUAGGACUUGUAUGACUUGUGAGCUUUGCAACGGUUUGGAGCUCGCAAGGAACUUUCAGUUUCCAAUUCUGGGACAUGUUUUUAUGCUUGGAGUUUUUUUGUGGCAUGUAUGAUUUGUUUUCCUUUUUCUCUCGUCUCCUUUGGCACGAGACUUUUGAAGCCAGAGCCUAGUAAAGACAACUUCUUACGUGACAUUUGAUUCUGCUAGAAAUCAGAAAAGAAGACUGGCAAGGCAACCAAGUUGACCAUUUCUACUAUUGUAAUUUGAAUAACUGUAGUCUGAUGGCAAGAAACAUUAAAUCACUAUCUUGAGGACACAAACUUGGAAACAGUUCAGCUUAAAAGAUGCUGAAAUUCUUAUUUCUAGUUUUUAAUGGUGAGAACAAGUAGCUUUUGUUUCAGAAACUGGCACCUUUCUUCUUUCUACAUUUUUCUUUCGUAAACUGGCGCUUUUCUUCUUUCUACGUUUUGGGUGUUCUGUUGUUUAAGUGAAGCACAAAGGAAGCAGAGGUGAUUCAGGUUUGCUGAGGAAUGACUAAAGGAGGCUUUCCAGUGUAUAAGUUUGAAUGCAGAGGAUGACGGUCCAUGACAGCAAGUGAAAAAUUGCAGAGAUAAUGAGGCAAAGAAGGCAUUGGAGGAGGCAUUCAAGAUGACCAACAGGGUGGGAUUUUGUGAUGCCAUUGCUCAUCGGCUUCUGCAUUAGAAGAGACAUAGGGAGAUCUAAGCUGCAGAGGGCAGCAGAGUUUUCAUUAUAGUGGAAGCAACCAUGUUUGGGAGCGCAGCCAAGAGUGGGCCAUUGAAUUUUUGUAUAUUAACUCUUUUAUCGUAUAUAAAUUUUUGUUAAUAAAAAUUUUUGUCUUGAAAAAUUUUCUCUCUAUUUUUAUUAUAUAUAUAUAUAUGUGUGUGUGUACACACACGCACACUCGCACUGCAGCAGGAUAUAGCGAUAAAUGGACGAAGGGCAACAGGUUCAGGGUUUGUCCAGAGAAGUGACUGUGCCCAUGUGAGCCGAUGGGAACACCAAGAAGAAGAACUGGUAACAGGUGGAGAAAUGGAUACACCGCAGAACAAAGCAGAAACAGGGCGAUUGAGAACAAUGAAAAAGGCGCAUGCUGAUUCUUUCUUCUUAUUGUGUACAACCAUGAAACGUUACGAGGACAACACCAUGAGAAGGCAAUUAGACAAUAGAAUGGCAGGGUUGGGACUUGAUCUAACAAGGUCUUCAGGCAAUAAAAUGGCUGAGUUGGGACUCGAUCUAAGGUCUUCAACUUGGCAGCCUUCCGUUUCCCAUCUUAUCACAUGGUUUUAUACUUUAGGUUUUUCAUAGCUGCC